rnacentral:rRNA from 1 species
CCUACGGGGGGCUGCAGUGGGGAAUAUUGGACAAUGGGGGGAACCCUGAUCCAGCCAUGCCGCGUGUGUGAAGAAGGCCCUCGGGUUGUAAAGCACUUUCAGUGAGGAAGAAUGCCUGGUGGUUAAUACCCAUCAGGAAAGACAUCACUCACAGAAGAAGCACCGGCUAACUCCGUGCCAGCAGCCGCGGUAAUACGGAGGGUGCGAGCGUUAAUCGGAAUUACUGGGCGUAAAGCGCGCGUAGGUGGCUUGAUAAGCCGGUUGUGAAAGCCCCGGGCUCAACCUGGGAACGGCAUCCGGAACUGUCAAGCUAGAGUGCAGGAGAGGAAGGUAGAAUUCCCGGUGUAGCGGUGAAAUGCGUAGAGAUCGGGAGGAAUACCAGUGGCGAAGGCGGCCUUCUGGACUGACACUGACACUGAGGUGCGAAAGCGUGGGUAGCAAACAGGAUUAGAUACCCUGGUAGUC